UACGGGGGGGGCAAGCGUUGCUCGGAAUCACUGGGCGUAAAGCGCACGUAGGCGGAUUGUUAAGUCAGGGGUGAAAUCCUGGAGCUCAACUCCAGAACUGCCUUUGAUACUGGCGAUCUUGAGUCCGGGAGAGGUGAGUGGAACUGCGAGUGUAGAGGUGAAAUUCGUAGAUAUUCGCAAGAACACCAGUGGCGAAGGCGGCUCACUGGCCCGGUACUGACGCUGAGGCACGAAAGCGUGGGGAGCAAACAGG
rnacentral:rRNA from 1 species